rnacentral:RNase_P_RNA from 1 species
GGAGCCGACUGGAUGGCCGCGGUCCUUCGGGGCUGAGGAAAGUCGGGGCUCCGCAGGACAGGGUGCUGGCUCACGCCAGUCGAGGUGACUCGCAGGAAAGUGCCACAGAGAACAGACCGCCGGCGGGCUCGCCUCGCCGGUAAGGGUGAAACGGUGCGGUAAGAGCGCACCAGCAUCCCCGGUGACGGGGAUGGCUCGGCAAACCCCACCCGGAGCAAGGUCACGCAGGGAGAGAGCGGUCCGCUCGUCGACACUCCCGG